GCUAUAUUGAUCCACCGUUUGAAUACCGCCUGAUUGCGGGGGCCGCAUCACUGGGGCCGGUAAAACAGGAUGGCUGCUGUCAAAAUGGCCGAGUACUUGCGUGCGCUUGGUUGCUGAUCGGCGACGGAGACCAGCUAGGUGCGCGAAUCUAGCACUUGCGACCCGCGAGCGACGCGCGGUCUCCUUUUCCUGAAGGCAUGCUGUCGUCCGGUAAACGCAGCCUAUCCAGGGAGGACAUCAGAGCCGCGGAUAAGGAUGAAAAGGAAUCGCUAUUGGAGCAUGACAGCGAUCUGGACGAGGAGAUGCUGUUCACUCGUCCGAGCACGUCCAACGCGGACGAAAGAGUCGACAACAAGAUGGACAGCGUGAAGCUGCAGAUUCAGGAGGUGGCGGACGUGAUGAGGGAUAAUGUGCAGAAGGUGAUGGACCGCGGCGAGAAGCUGGAGGAUCUACAGGAGGCGAGCGAUCGUCUCAACAUGGCCGGGAACGAGUUCAGGGAAGCGGCGAGGAGAGCUCAGCGACGAGCCUGGCUGCAAAACGUCAAGUCAAGGAUCAUCAUCAUCAGCAUCACCGUGACGAUCGUGCUCUUCAUCGUUGUUCUGGACAUCAUGGUGCUUUACCUGGUUCUCAGAUAGCGAGCACGAUGUGAUCGCGAGCCGCCGAUCGUGAAGGUACAUGAUCGGAUCGGAUGAAGUAUCUAUCAUCGUGAAGUAUACGUGAACCGGCGACGUUCUGACUGAGGGACCGGCGACCUGUCGUCUGCAUCUUGUACAUUAAUAUGCACUGAACCAAUAAUAUAUACGUAUUGCAUAGUUAUAAGUUUCUGUAAAAAAUAUAUCUUCUAUUAUUUUUGCAUAU